rnacentral:rRNA from 1 species
GACGAACGCUGGCGGCGUGCUUAACACAUGCAAGUCGAACGGAAAGGCCCUGCUUUUGUGGGGUGCUCGAGUGGCGAACGGGUGAGUAACACGUGAGUAACCUGCCCUUGACUUUGGGAUAACUUCAGGAAACUGGGGCUAAUACCGGAUAGGAGCUCCUGCUGCAUGGUGGGGGUUGGAAAGUUUCGGCGGUUGGGGAUGGACUCGCGGCUUAUCAGCUUGUUGGUGGGGUAGUGGCUUACCAAGGCUUUGACGGGUAGCCGGCCUGAGAGGGUGCCCGGCCACAUUGGGACUGCGAUACGGCCCAGACUCCUACGGGAGGCAGCAGUGGGGAAUAUUGCACAAUGGGCGGAGGCCUGAUGCAGCAACGCCGCGUGCGGGAUGACGGCCUUCGGGUUGUAAACCGCUUUCGCCUGUGACGAAGCGUGAGUGACGGUAAUGGGUAAAGAAGCACCGGCUAACUACGUG